UACAGAGGCCCCAAGCGUUACUGAGAAUCACUGGGUUUAAAGGGUGCGUAGGUGGUCCGUUAAGUUCGUUGUGAAAUCCCUGGGCUCAACCCAGGAAAUGCUUCGAAUACUGGCGGACUUGAGGCUAGUAGAGGUCACUGGAACUGACGGUGGAGCGGUGAAAUGCGUAGAUAUCGCUUGGAACGCCGACGGUGAAAACAGCUCGCUGGGGACUCGCUGACGCUGAGACACGAAAGCCAGGGGAGCAAACGGG
rnacentral:rRNA from 1 species